UGUACCACCUUGUCGGGUAGCUUAUCAGACUGAUGUUGACUAUUGAAUCUCAUGGCAACAGCAGUCGAUGGGCUGUCUGACAUUCUGGUAUC
rnacentral:miRNA from 1 species